ACAAUCCCAUGUCUGCAACAAAAGGUGGAAUGGAAUCUCCCAACACUGCUCUGAGGGUGGGGGCAUGUUCUGUUUUGCCUAAAGCAGCAAAAUGUCCUGGCCUGGCCCAGCUUUAGGUUCUUACUUUACAACUUGGCCACACUCUACCAUCAAAAGCGUCCGUGAAAUAAAUGGACUGUAUACUCAGCGAACACUUGCAGCAGAGGCAGAUUUAGGGGUGUGCGACCGGUUCAGUCUCACUGUGUGUGGAGCUGCAGGGGCCCCAGCAGAGCCCUGGAGACAACAGAACGGUGAGCUCAUAAGCAGCUUAUGGGGUAUAAUAAUAUUCCCCCUUAGCACACUGGUCCUAUGGUAGCUUCUGUUUUCUCUUUUGGAAAAUAACCCAUCCCCUAUAUGAAGAGCCCCGAAGAGUCAUGUUAAUGUUUAGGGAGGUUUUUAAUGUUUGAUGUUUUACUGUGAUUUUAAUAUUCUGUUGGGAGCUGCCCAGAGUGGCUGGAGAAACCCAGUCAGAUGGGUGGGGUAUAAAUAUUCUUAUUCUUAUUCUUAUUCUUAUCAUCUUUUUCUUAUACAAGUUUGCAUGCUGAUAUGAGCCAUUGUUCUCUGAAACGGACACAGCAAACAGGGGUUCUUGUUUACCCUUACUUUCCUCAUCAAGGCUGAAUGUGGUUCACUUUGCCUCUUUGAGGGCAAGAAACUUCCCAGGAUUGCGGAAUUAGCCCCAAAGCCACACCAUAGCAAACAUAUAAACGCUCUAUAUGAAUGGAGCUUAAAACGCCUCACAUUUCUGCCAGCAAACAUGGCUAUCUAUAUAUGACCAGGAAGGCAAAACAGAAGAAAACCUUUUGCAUAAAGGGCAGCAAUGUUAUAUAGAGCACAUUAUACCGAAAUGUAAUAUGAAUCUACUAAGUGCACUGUGUUAUGUAUUGGAUGAACUAUUAUACAAAAAUAGUAAUAAUAAAAUAGUAAAAAAAGGUCUCACUUUUAUCCGAAGAUGAGCAAGUAAAGAAACAGAAAUUUGACAUAGUUAUAAUAAAUGAGAAUUAUAUUGAAGAUUUAAAAUUAUUUUUAUUUUUAAUUUAGCCUUUUAUGCUAUAUUCGGUUUUGCCUGGUUUCUCCCCAUCCCCCAACCCAGUACCCAUUACUAAGCACUAGAAAACAUUUUCAGGGAACAGCCAGAUCUUUAUAAUACAUUUUUCCUAUUAUCAACUUUACAAAAGCAUGAGGGAUCUAGCCAUAACCAUUAACCUGAUUUAGUCAAAUUAAAGCUAAUUUGCUCUUGACUUGCUUCCUGUACAAAUGAAUUCAUCAAUCAUAUUAAUGCAUUCACAGCAUCCUGAGAUUACUGGCAAUUCUCUUCUACUGUGCGAAUAUUUGCUAAUGUAAUUGCCAACCAUUUUGGAGGGGGUUUAUGCUCUUCCCUUUGUUCCUAAAUUUCUUGCAGCUUGCUCGUGUAAAAAAAUUACACCCAGGUAUGAUUACAUAACAAUCUAAGUAAUUAUAGCCACUAGUUUAGAUUACUUUAAGAAAGGAUUUGAUAAAGUCAUGGAAGUCUGGCCUAGCGGCGGUACAUACAGAUGGCAAAGUUAAACAUGAUUUUUGUCAGAUGGUUUGGCCUUGCAUAGCUGCUUUUUGUUUAAAAAAAUUACCAGUGCUAGGCCAGAACUGUGGAGUGGGGAUACUUUAACCCAGUGCUUAAAAAAAAGUUAAAAAAAAGUUUAAGGGUACUCUCAUUCCAUCUGAGAUUCAGGAAACACUGUGACAGGAAAUGUGGCCGCCAUUGGGCAUACCAGUGGAACUGUCGAUUCACCGUGCUAGAGAAGAAACUAUUUUUUUUUUAAAAAAAUAGUUUCUUCUCUCAUUAGAUUCCCGAAAUGUUAAGGGGUAAGCAUACUCCUGUGUUCCCGCAGAAAAAAAGCACUGCUUUAACCCUUUGACCAGAAUUCUCUCCACCCACCCAAUGCCAUUCAUGGGAGCUUUUCUCUCACUGUGAACAUGGUGAUCACUCCAACUGGGUCAGCAAUGGACGUAAAAGGGACACCCAUGCCACAGACCAAUUCAGUUUGUGGUCCCACACAAGCUCUCCGCUAAACAAAAAUCAGGUGUGCAAGGCUGAACUAUGAGAUAAACCUUGUGCCUAGUUGUGCCCAGAGACAAUAUACUUCUGAACACUUCAGACUCUGGGGAUGAAGGAUGAGGAAAGGGCAUCACCUUCAUAUUCUGUUUACAUCUGGCACAGCACUGCUAGAAAUACAAUAGUGAAGAAGAAGUUGUGGUCUGAUCCAGAAAGCCAAAUGUUAUCUUCUGAUAUUUGCAUGUGGUUAUGGACCCAGCCAUAGGUACGUUUACUGGAAACUGCAUAAAUGCAGGAUUAUACAACCCUGCAACUGAGUAUCCCAGGAUGCUUUCAUCUGAAAACCUGGACACCCCUCCCUACUACUCAACCAGUCUGUUACUGGAGGACUUUUACCUCCCUCAUCCCCUACAUGGAGAAAUCAAAUGUUUUCAACUGAAACUGGAUGUUUCUACAGUGAUUUUUUUUUUCUUUAAAAAAAAUGUUUAGGGGUAUUCACAUUUUGACUCAGGAAAAUCACCAUUUUAUAGUUCAGAUUGGGAAAAACAAAUACAGUAAAUGGACAGAAGUACAAAGAUUCACAAAAUGUUUAGAGGUAUGUGUCCCCUCAGAAAAAAAGCACUGUGUUUCUAUGUCCACAAUGAAGAAGGAAAAACCACAGACAUUUACAUACACCUCUGGUGAAAGGUACCAUUAUAUAUUGCAUGUGGUUAAUAACAACAACACCUACUACUUUAUCAUUUUAAACAGGAAAUUUUAGCUAGCUUGUGUUGCAAUCUCCUGUUGACAGAUCCCUUCUUUCAUCUCUGGCUUUCUUGAAGAUAAUGUUCUACUUGAUCCGUAAUGCUUUUCAUUGCUUGAUUCGCCCUCCGCCUCUGUAUUUUUUCCCUAAUAUCCUUUGAAUGCAUUCUUUCAAAAUUCUUGUACUUUGUGCUUUGUUCUUCUUUUUCCUUUCUUUCAGAUGCUCUAGCUACGUAGAGAAUGUGUGGCUGCUCUCCUAGGGUUUGCUUUAAAAUCCACUGAAGGCAAUGAAACUCUUCAAAGGCUUUCUCUCAGGCCCUUAAUUAUGUCCUUUUCCUGCAGGAAGAAGGCUGUGUAUGAGCCUCCAUGAGCUUACACCAUUCCCCACGGCUAUCAUAUCAUGAUCCACCUGCCUUCAUAGCAAAAUAUUUCACUGACUUUCUGUCCAGCACAGAUUCUUCUGCUCAUUGAGUGGUUUAUGGCCAAUCCUUUCUUUACAGGAAUUUGGUGAGCAAGAUACAUAGUUCUUAUCUCCUGUCCAUGAAGGUUAUUGCUGAAGUGGUUGGUUCAGUAGAAUUGUGUGUGUGUUUAAAUAUAAAUACAUAAAAAGAAA